rnacentral:rRNA from 1 species
UACAGAGGGGGCAAGCGUUGUUCGGAAUUACUGGGCGUAAAGCGUGCGCAGGCGGUUCGGAAAGAAAGAUGUGAAAUCCCAGGGCUCAACCUUGGAACUGCAUUUUUAACUACCGGACUAGAGUAUGUCAGAGGGAGGUGGAAUUCCACGUGUAGCAGUGAAAUGCGUAGAUAUGUGGAGGAACACCGAUGGCGUAGGCAGCCUCCUGGGAUAAUACUGACGCUCAUGCACGAAAGCGUGGGGAGCAAACAGG